rnacentral:rRNA from 1 species
GUUUGAUCAUGGUUCAGGACGAACGCUGGCGGCGUGCCUAAUACAUGCAAGUCGAGCGAGCCGAACUAAUUGAUUACCUUCGGGUAUGAAGUUAGGGAAGCGAGCGGCGGAUGGGUGAGUAACACGUGGGUAACCUACCCUAUAGUCUGGGAUACCACUUGGAAACAGGUGCUAAUACCGGAUAAAAGGAGAGAUCACAUGAUUUCUUUUUGAAAGGCGGCGUAAGCUGUCGCUAAAGGAUGGACCUGCGGUGCAUUAGCUAGUUGGUAAGGUAACGGCUUACCAAGGCAACGAUGCAUAGCCGAGUUGAGAGACUGAUCGGCCACAUUGGGACUGAGACACGGCCCAAACUCCUACGGGAGGCAGCAGUAGGGAAUCUUCCACAAUGGACGCAAGUCUGAUGGAGCAACGCCGCGUGAGUGAAGAAGGUUUUCGGAUCGUAAA